AUGCACAAAGGAGGUGCCAGUGACGCUCUCUGUGUCUCCCCCCCGCCCCCCUCUCCUCCCCGCGGGCCCCAAGAGCCCACCAGCCCUCCGGACACAACGCCCCCUCCUGGCGGCCAGGAACCAGGUGAGCUCACCAGCCCCCCGGAGCAGCUCACGAGAGGGGUGACCCUGGUGAGCCUUGGGGUUGCCGAGCGGUUGCUCACCGACGACACGCACCCGGGCGGCCUGGAUGGAGACUCCGCCAGCCUCGACGCCCUCAACAGCGGCACCUUUAACCUGGACCCCCUGGCAGGGGAUGCCCAAAGCGGUCCUGCGGGGGACUUGCCUGCUCAGUCCAACGAGUCGCAAGAGAGUGUGGACCACGACACCGACUCGGAGGAGGCCCUGGCAUCUCAAGGGAUGUGAGGGGCAGGGUCCCACGCUGGAGCUGCCAUGGAGCCCCGAUGGACAGCAGCUUCCUGCCUUCUGCCAAGCUUUCUCGCUCCCUGCCCCUGGCACUGCCCGGGUACCACUCUGCACCCUCCCCACUGUCCUGGCUGCUGUUACAGCUCCAGCCGGGAGCCGUCGGGAGUCCUGCAGCUCACAAGGCUGCUUAGUCUCUGCCCCCAACUCCUCACUGUGCAGCCCCUCGGCUGGAGUAAACCAGCCCUGAUGCCCAUCAAGCCGCACAGAGCGACCCCACCCUAGUGAUCCAGCCCAGCCCCUCCAGCCGGG
rnacentral:lncRNA from 1 species